GAUUUCUUUCCAAAAUUAUAUUUUCUGAAUCACGCGAUUAUAAAUUGGAGGAAUUGAUUCUAGUUGUUCAAAAUCUGGCGAUCUCAUCAAAUUCUGUCUCAUCAAAUCGCGAUUGUCUCCUUUUUGAAGCUAUUUUGCUUGUCAAUUUCUGCCGAUCUCAUCAACCUAUCGCGAUUGUCUCCUUUCCGAAGUUAAAGUUACACCUCUGUGCAAAGAAGAAUUAAGGCCUUUUGUUGGAAAAAGUUUCAAGUCAUUUGAUGCUGCUAUCUCCUUCUAUGAAGAUUAUGCUAAAGAGGUUGGAUUUGAUCCUCGAAAAUCUGGUAGAAAAACAACAGGCGGCAUUAAUGCAUGAUGACCCACAUGUCUGUUGAAACAAACAUUCGCGUUUAUAUAACUGACCGGGGCCAUAGGACUUGGACUGUUACGAACAAUGCUGAGGAUGAUUUGUACGAGUGUCAAUGCAAGCUAUAUCAGAGGUGUGGGAUUCUGUGUCGUCACAUGUUUUUUGUUUUCAAGAACAAUGAUGUGCAGUUGAUACCUGAAAUUUAUAUUAGAAAGAGGUGGCUGAAGAAACAUCUUUUAAUAUCUGUGCAUGGUUCUUCUACCUCAACUUUUUAGGAUCAAACAGUUAUAGAUGCGAUUGAGGAUGUUGAAAAUCAUCUUUUUGGUGAUGGUUCUUAUGUGAUGUCCGUGUUGGAGAAAAAGAAGAGGUUUGAGGAAUUGUAUGGUGUUGUGAGGCCUGAUGUUAUACAUGCUCAUCCGCCAAAUGUGGUGAAGUGUAAAGGAUCUGGAUCCAGGUUGGCUUCUAAGAUGGAAGCGGCGAAGAAGGCAGCGUCUAAACCUCCUAGACGAUGUGGGAAAUGCCAUAAAAUGGUUAGUCAUGAUUCAAGGGACUGCGGCAAAGAGAAGAGUAAAAAACAGAAAUAAAUUAGUUGUUCCUAUUACUGUGGUUUCUGUUUAUUGGCAUACAUAAUUCCUUGUUUUGGAUAUUCCUUAGCAUUCUUGAUUCCAUGUUUUUAUGGAAGAAUAAUAAU